UAGUUCAUGAAAUGAUGUUUGGAGCGCUUAGAGUAUAUACGCGCCAUAAUGCGCGUAUGGCUGAUGGAGGCGGUGCUACGUUUCGCACGAUUUAUUUGUGAACAAAUUAUUUUGAAUUGUUGACAUAAUUGUUAAAUGAAAAUGGACAACGACAAAAGUACUAUGCUCGCAGUUUUGCAACUGCUUAGAAAAUACAAUUUGAAGGGAACGGAAGAAUUAUUCAAAAAAGAAGCUAAUUUGACUGAUAUAUCUGCAGAUGAUGCUCAACAGACUGAUUCUGAAGUUAACAGUGUACUUUCUGCAUAUAAAAGCGAAGGAGAUCCUGCACUUUAUGAGAAAGCAUAUAGCGAAUUGAAGAAAUUUGUAGAAGGUUCUUUAGAUAUAUAUAAACAUGAGUUGGGUACAAUUUUAUACCCAGUUUUGGUACAUAUGUACCUUGAAUUGGUUUACAAUAAUCAUUCUGAGGAAGCUAAACAGUUAUUGGAAAAGUUUGGUGGAAAUCUAGAAGAAUAUUACCAAAAUGACUUGAAAAGAUUAUCUAAUGUAACAAAACGCGAACAAAUGGCUGGAAAUGAAUUAACAGAUACCUUUAAGUCCAAUCAGUUUAUAAUCAGAAUGUCAAGAGAUACUCUUUCAAUAUUAAAAAGACAUUUACAAGAAAAGAAACACAGUGUAUUACUAAAUAUCAUACAGGAGCAUUUAUAUUUUGAUAUGUACGAGGGUGUGGCAAGAAACAAACAACAGAUUGAUGCUACAUCUGGUGCAGUGGUUGGUGAGGCAACAAGACAAGAUAAUAAGGCAAAAGUAUAUUAUGGACUUUUAAAAGAGCCAGACAUUCAGUGUAUGCCUCCAACUGAGGAAGAGGAGGACGAUACAGGUGGUGCAGAUGGAGAUAAACCGAAAAAGAAGAAAGCCAAGAAGGAUCCUCUGUUUUCUAAGAAAACCAAAUCAGAUCCGAAUGCACCACCUGUUGGUAGAAUGCCUUUACCAAAUUUAAAAGAUGCGGAUAAAUUGGAAAAGGUAAAAGCACUGAGAGAAGCAUCGAAACGCGUUGUACUCGGUCCAGACACCUUACCAUCUAUAUGCUUUUAUACACUCUUAAACACAGUUCAUACUGUAACAGCGGCUGAAGUAGCUGAAGACUCGAGUUUACUAGCUAUCGGAUUCAGUGACUCUUGUAUAAAGGUGUGGAGUUUAGUUCCACAAAAAUUAAGACUUAUGAAGACAGGCGAACAAUUACAGGACAUUGAUAGAGAAGCAGACGACGUAUUGGUAAGAAUGAUGGAUGAUCGUACAGCGGAAACAUCUAGAUCUUUAUUCGGACACAAUGGUCCCGUGUACAGUUUAUCGUUCAGUCCAGAUAGAAAUUUACUUCUUUCUUCCUCAGAAGACAGUACAGUAAGGCUGUGGUCUUUACACACAUGGACUUGCGUGGUAUGUUACAAGGGACAUUUGUUCCCAGUAUGGUGCGUUCGAUUUUCACCUCAUGGUUAUUACUUUGCAACUUCCUCUCACGACAAAACUGCCAGACUAUGGGCAACCGAUUCCCAUCAACCUCUUCGAAUAUUUGCCGGUCACUAUUCGGACGUAGAUGUAGUUCAGUUUCAUCCAAAUUCGAAUUACGUAGCGACCGGUUCCAGCGAUAUGACAGUAAGAUUAUGGGACUGCGUAACUGGCAGCCAAGUCAGAUUAAUGACAGGACACAAAGCUCCGAUUUAUUCUCUUGCUUUUUCCGCAGAGGGUCGAUUUUUAGCGUCGGCUGGAGCCGAUCACCGCGUUUUAGUUUGGGAUUUGGCACACGGUCAUCUCGUUGCCGCCUUGUCAAGUCAUUCCGGUACUAUUCAUUGUUUAUCGUUUAGCAGAGAUGGAAACUUGUUAGUCUCUGGCUCGUUAGACUCUACUAUAAAAUUAUGGGAUUUCACAAAACUCGCGGAAGAAAUGAGCCUAGAAGACGUGAACGUAUCCCAUAAUCCAGAUGUUAAAACAAACGCGGAAGCGUAUCUCCUUCGAACGUUCGCGACCAAAAAUACUCCGGUCAUGACUUUACACUUUUCACGAAGAAAUUUACUAUUAGGCGUUGGGAUGUUCGAAUCGACCUAGCAAUCCUAGUCAAUUUUCGUGAUCGAUUUUUACUGAUAAAACACGGUGUGGCAUUGAUUCCCUAUUAUUCACAAGAUUUGCUCCAUGUUUCUUCCUCGCGUUGAAACAAGAACACCGUAGUUUCUAUAACUUCCUAUAAUAAAUGAAGGAACAUACCAAUCCAUUUAAAAAGACAGAGUCAAUUCAAAGUCAACAGCACUCUCGUCGGGAGACAAGAUGGAUGUAAUCAAUUCAAAGAUCCAAGUAACGAACUUCAAUUACAACUAGAAUAUGGAUGGACCGGGUACAGGCACCACUUGGUAAUCACUGGAUUUCACGCAUCCAUAUUCUAUUUUCAUGAUUAAAUCAACUUAGAACACCUAUCGCAAUUGAAUCUAUUACUUGCAUCGUAUUGUAUUUUCAUGAACAUUCAUCAGAUUAUCUAUCCCAUAAAACAAUACCAUCCACAGGAAUUUCCAAGAUUCUCCCGAAGACGAUCAACGGUGAUCGGCACCGAGGGUUUCAUUUACGAGAAGAUAUUUAUAACUGACCGACAUCGCUCUUCAAAAGCGCAUCAUUCAAAAUAAAAAGGUGGCUGAAUACUAAGACCGAAUGUGCUCGUUAGUUCGAAGGUCGAGCAAGAGAAGGUUUGAAUAAUGAAAUCUGAGCUUUCUGAAAAGGAGCGUUCUCCAUUCCAGUUGAUUGUAUGAUACUAGGUCGUUGCGUUCGAAUACGAGUAGAUCGUUAAAAUGUGAACGAAGACGGGUCUUUCAUUCAUACGGCACGUGCGAUCGUAUGGAAUUUAAGUUUUCCUUAACUGAAAGGCGUCCCAUCGCUUAUUUCUUCUGGAAUUAUGUUCUUCUUUGAAUCUUCCAAGACCAAAGCCUGGGAGGCUUCGCCUCUGCCACUUAAUCUCGACUAAAAAGUUGAACAGAAGUAGAAGAUUUAAAGGGUCGCAUACAACCAACACUUGAUUCACGCGAGAAAUUUAUUUCCGAUUGUUGAUACGCUUACUUCUAUCACAGCAUACAGACGUAAGUUAUACGCGCUUUUUUUUUUUUUACCAUACGUGUGUGUACGUGGUAUGUAUGUAUGUAUGUAUGUAGGUAAUACCCUCUCUGCAUACGUGGCUCCGUGUGUGCGUACGUGAAAUGAUGGCUUUUUUUUCUUUUUUUUUUUUUUUUUUAGUAAUUUAACACUUUCGUAAUAGGGUUACAAUGUAUGCGUUGUCGUUCCCGUCUUCUCUUCUUCGUUUCUUUUCGCAUUCGUUUAAACUGAUAAUCAACUAUACAUCGAUCUCUACAUUCCCAGUCAAGCCUCGCGCAUCGAUAUCAAACCUAGGGUUACAUGUGUGAUUUAACUAUAUGUUAUAUCAUCUUCGUUAAUGUACUUAUGAAAUCUGGAUAGAUUUACGUUCUCGCGAGUUAACGCAGGAGUAUAGGCUGACCCGGCAUCAAAUUGAAAAUCAAUUGAUCCGAAAGGAACUGUAUCGAGCUAUACUCUUACGUUAACGCAUAAAUGGUGGUUCCGUAUUUCUUAGAAAAAACGAUGGAAUUAUCGACGGAUCGACGCAGAUUACACCGAUCGGUUUAAUAAAAACGAUUCGGAAGGAUUUCGUGAUAAUGCGUUGGUUGAUUUUGGUCGUGAUCCUUAGAAUAAAUUGCAUAUGAAUAUCGUUUAAACCCGAUAAUUAAUUAUAAAAAUUAUAGAGUAAAACGGAUUUAAAAAAACUGACAAAUAUCGGUGGAAAUAAUUCUCUUCACUUUUUUUGUUUGUUUUUUGGACUUUUUAAAAAUGUUUUCCUCUCUUCUUCUGGCGUGUUUUCUUUCCUCUCUUUUUUCCAGUACAUCACAGCGUGUUUCAUUUCUUUCAGUUCCGUUUUUCCCCCCGAUGUUCACAUGCGAUUUAUGUAAUAUCGUUUAUAGGACUUUGUACUAGGACCGGCCGUUUUCUUUCUUCAUCUUCUUCUCUUCGCCAAAUUCUGUUCUGCGUCGUUUCUCGUCGUGGACGUUUGUGGCACUCGUUCGGCAACCGACCGUAAUAAAAAAUUCUCUCCCGAUGCAAAUUACAAGUUUUUUCCCUACAUCGUUUUAAAAGCAUAUACUCGUACGUAUCUCGCAUUCUUCUCUUCCCUUAGUUUCUACUAUAUAGUUCUCUCACGCUCUGUAUGCUUCUCGUUUUCACGCGUUGCUUUAAACCUAGAAAAAAAAAAAAAAAAAAAAAAAAAAAAAGAAAA